ensembl:snRNA U6 U6 spliceosomal RNA
GUGCUCACUUCAGCAGCACAUAUACUAAAAUUGGAACGAUACAGAGAAAAUUAGCAUGGCCCCUGCGCAAGGAUGACACACAAAUUUGUGAAGCGUUCCAUAUUUUU